UACGUAGGGGGCUAGCGUUGUCCGGAAUCAUUGGGCGUAAAGAGCGUGUAGGCGGCCCGGUAAGUCCGCUGUAAAAGUCAAAGGCUCAACCUUUGAAUGUCAGUGGAUACUGCCGGGCUAGAGUCCGGAAGAGGCGAGUGGAACUCCUGGUGUAGCGGUGAAAUGCGCAGAUAUCAGGAGGAACACCAAUGGCGAAGGCAGCUCGCUGGGACGGUACUGACGCUGAGACGCGAAAGCGUGGGGAGCGAACAGG
rnacentral:rRNA from 1 species